UACGUAGGGUGCAAGCGUUAAUCGGAAUUACUGGGCGUAAAGCGUGCGCAGGCGGUUUGUAAGUCUGUCGUGAAAUCCCCGGGCUCAACCUGGGAAUUGCGAUGGAGACUGCAAGGCUAGAAUCUGGCAGAGGGGGGUAGAAUUCCACGUGUAGCAGUGAAAUGCGUAGAGAUGUGGAGGAACACCGAUGGCGAAGGCAGCCCCCUGGGUCAAGAUUGACGCUCAUGCACGAAAGCGUGGGGAGCAAACGAGGAUUACGAAACCCGAG
rnacentral:rRNA from 1 species